rnacentral:rRNA from 1 species
GAUGAACGCUAGCGACAGGCUUAACACAUGCAAGUCGAGGGGCAGCGGGGAGAAAGCUUGCUUUCUCUGCCGGCGACCGGCGCACGGGUGAGUAACACGUAUGCAACCUGCCCGGAACAGAGGGAUAAGCGGGAGAAAUUCCGUCUAAUACCGCAUAACACCCCCGGAGGACAUCCUCUGAGGGUCAAAGGAGGCAACUCCGGUGCCGGAUGGGCAUGCGGCGCAUUAGCUGGUUGGCGGGGUAACGGCCCACCAAGGCGACGAUGCGUAGGGGUUCUGAGAGGAAGGUCCCCCACAUUGGUACUGAGACACGGACCAAACUCCUACGGGAGGCAGCAGUGAGGAAUAUUGGUCAAUGGGCGCGAGCCUGAACCAGCCAAGUCGCGUGAGGGAAGACGGUCCUAUGGAUUGUAAACCUCUUUUGUCGGGGAGCAAAAGCAGCUACGCGUAGCUGAAAGGAGAGUACCCGAAGAAAAAGCAUCAGCUAACUCCGUGCCAGCCGCCGCUGUAA